rnacentral:rRNA from 1 species
UACGUAGGGUGCGAGCGUUGUCCGGAAUUAUUGGGCGUAAAGAGCUCGUAGGCGGUGUGUCACGUCGGCCGUGAAAACCCGCAGCUUAACUGUGGGCGUGCGGUCGAUACGGGCAUCACUGGAGUUCGGCAGGGGAGACUGGAAUUCCUGGUGUAGCGGUGAAAUGCGCAGAUAUCAGGAAGAACACCAAUGGCGAAGGCAGCUCUCUGGGACGGUACUGACGCUGAGACGCGAAAGCGUGGGGAGCGAACAGG